rnacentral:rRNA from 1 species
AUGAGUUAAGUAUAAACCCCUUUACAAGUAUCAAUUGGAGGGCAAGUCUGGAGCCAGCAGCCGCGGUAAUUCCAGCUCCAAUAGCGUAUAUUAAAGUUGUUGCAGUUAAAAAGCUCGUAGUUGGAUUUCUGUUAAUAAUUUAUAUAUAAUAUUUUAUGAUAUUUAUAUAAUAUUAACAUAAUUCAUAUUACUAUAUUUAUUAGUAUAUGAAAUUUUACUUUGAGAAAAUUAGAGUGCUUAAAGCAGGCGUUUGCCUUGAAUACUCCAGCAUGGAAUAAUAUAAAAGAUUUUUAUCUUUUUUAUUGGUUCUAAGAUAAAAAUAAUGAUUAAUAGGGACAGUUGGGGGCAUUUGUAUUUAACAGUCAGAGGUGAAAUUCUUAGAUUUGUUAAAGACAAACUAGUGCGAAAGCAUUUGCCAAGGAUGUUUUCAUUAAUCAAGAACGAAAGUUAGGGGAUCGAAGACGAUCAGAUACCGUCGUAGU